rnacentral:rRNA from 1 species
UACGUAGGGUGCAAGCGUUGUCCGGAAUUAUUGGGCGUAAAGAGCUCGUAGGCGGUCUGUCGCGUCUGCUGUGAAAACUCAGGGCUUAACCCUGAGCUUGCAGUGGGUACGGGCAGACUAGAGUGCGGUAGGGGAGACUGGAAUUCCUGGUGUAGCGGUGAAAUGCGCAGAUAUCAGGAGGAACACCGGUGGCGAAGGCGGGUCUCUGGGCAACAACUGACGCUGAGGAGCGAAAGCGUGGGGAGCAAACAGG